rnacentral:lncRNA from 1 species
ACUUGGCAAAGAGAGGACGUCAGCCCAGUUCCUGGCUGGCAGCACUGACAGGCGCCCAUCUGCUCCGGAAGCGCCAGCCUGGAUAAACACAGCCAGGCUCUGCCUCCCACGGUUGGACCAGCCGGGCCAAGCCGGCGGUGCGGAAGCCCUGGGUCUCAGGCCUUAGACCCCCGGGGUCACUCUCCACGCCUACCCGGCCACGCUGGCUGCCCCAGGAGAAGCAGUAUCCCUGGAAAACGGGAGGAGAGACACAGGAAAGGAAAGCUCCUUGCAGGAUUCUGCCCACCUCCCAGGUUCCACCACCUGUUCUUCCGGCCCUGACCCCAGGCCUGAUUGGGACAUGUUUCUCUAGUGUAUUCCCCCAUGACCCCUUCAGGGGCCACCCCCCAUCCCUUACAGCCCCUGCAACAGCCCAUUCACUCCCCCACGCCCUUGAGUGGAUGAAUUCCCACGAAGGUAGGAGACGUUUCAUGGCAGGUCCCUGCAGGCUUGAACAAAGGAUUUGACCUCAGGUGCUUAUCGCAAAGCACUAGCAGUAAUGGUGAGAUUGUAGGUGUCCUUCUGGGGAAAGGAGUGAGUCCAGGCAGAGACUAUCACCCCUCCAGUGUGGUAGGACAAGGGGCUGGCCCUUGCCCUGGGCAUCUUGGGAAGCUAGCUCCAGGAGCGGUCCGAGAAUUUGGCUCUAGAGGAAAAACCUGCAGGCUGGGCCUGCCCCACAGCUGGAAGGUUGUGAUUUGAGGCCUGGCUCCACCCCUCGAGGGUCAGGAGAGGGCUGGAGGAUUCAGCCCGGAAGGCUAGAGUUCCCAGCCAGUGGAAGCCUGCUUGGGGCAGCUGCCUCUGUUCGCUCCGGCUGAGCCCCUUCCAAAGGGGGCUCCGCCAGAGCCUCUUGUAAGCCGCAUGGAGAUUCAGGCACCUCACCUCAAAGCUGCAAAGGAGGUUCUUGGGGUUUGGCCUGGUUCUCUCCCUUACCUACCGGCCCCCAGGGUCCACCUGCGGAUUCUCCUGCAAAGCCAGGCAGUGGUGAUCCUUCUUCUUCCGAGCUCUGUUCCCUCCCAAACAAGCCAACAGCCGGUUCAUCUCAG